rnacentral:rRNA from 1 species
GCAGCAACGCCGCGUGAGGGAUGACGGCCUCAGGGUUGUAAACCUCUUUUAGCGAGGAAGAAGCGAAAGUGACGGUACUCGCAGAAAAAGCACCGGCUAACUACGUGCCAGCAGCCGCGGUAAUACGUAGGGUGCAAGCGUUAUCCGGAAUUAUUGGGCGUAAAGAGCUCGUAGGCGGUUUGUCGCGUCUGCUGUGAAAUCUGGGGGCUCAACUCCCAGCCUGCAGUGGGUACGGGCAGACUAGAGUGCGGUAGGGGAGAUUGGAAUUCCUGGUGUAGCGGUGGAAUGCGCAGAUAUCAGGAGGAACACCGAUGGCGAAGGCAGAUCUCUGGGCCGUAACUGACGCUGAGGAGCGAAAGGGUGGGGAGCAAACAGGCUUAGAUACCCUGGUAGUCCACCCCGUAAACGUUGGGAACUAGUUGUGGGGUCCAUUCCACGGAUUCCGUGACGCAGCUAACGCAUUAAGUUCCCCGCCUGGGGAGUACGGCCGCAAGGCUAAAACUCAAAGGAAUUGACGGGGACCCGCACAAGCGGCGGAGCAUGCGGAUUAAUUCGAUGCAACGCGAAGAACCUUACCAAGGCUUGACAUAUACGAGAACGGGCCAGAAAUGGUCAACUCUUUGGACACUC